NNNNNNNNNNNNNNNNNNNNGGCACCCACGCGCUCUGAGGGGCCCCGGCGCCCCGAGGCGCCUUGGCGAGCCGCCGUUUUAACUUAUUCUGGAUUUUUGCCUGGGCCGCGCGGCAGCGCACGGCCAUCGCGCACCGGGACGAUGCACCGUGCACGGCCCCGGCCCGGCGCGCUGCGCUGCCGCGGAGCCGGGGCUCCGAUCCUGCCGCCUCCCCCCGGGGGGCCGGGACCCCCGGCUGCAGCCCUGGGAUGCUGCGGAGAGGCUGGGGGCUGCUGCACGUGGUGCCGGGCUGCUCCGUGCGGUGCUGGGCUGCUGCACGUGGUGCUGGGCUCCGUGCAGUGCCGGGCUGCUCCGUGCAGUGCCGGGCUCUGGUGCCAGGCUGCUCCACACGGUGCCAGACUGCUCCAUGCCAUGCCGGGCUGCUCUGCAUGGUGCUGGGCUCCAUGCAGUGCCGGGCUGCUCCAUGCAGUGCCGGGCUCUGGUGCUGGGCUCCCUGCGCGGUGCUGGGCUGCUCCGCGCGGUGCCGAGCUCCUCAUGGGCGCGGGGCUGCAGGAGCUACCGGCGACGCCGGAGCCGGGGACGGUUAUAAAGCAAGCGGACACGGGGGGCACCGUCACCCCUGCCCAGGGCAACGGUUUGGGACCCACAGCUGCCUUGGGGACCCUGCAGGGACGUCGGCUGGGGCUCAGGGCCCGGCAGCUGGGGCCGGCGUCUCCGGAGCUCCGGGCACGCUGCCGUGAACUGCACUGCUUGGAAACAAGGAUAAUAUAUACCGGAACCGUGCUGGGCUGCCUCCUGCGUCUGUGCACUGCCGCGGCCUCCCCGUGUCCUGGUCCCUGGCUGCAUCCAGAUGCGGGGAUGUGCCAUGGGAUGCGGGGAUGUGCCAUGGGAUGCAGGGAUGUGCCAUGGGAUGCGGGGAUGUCCUGUGGGAUGCAGGGACAUGCCGUGGGAUGCAGGGAUGCGCCGUGGGAUGCAGGGACGUGCCAUGGGAUGCAGGGACAUGCCGUUGCACAGCCCGAUCCCACACCUGCAGCGCCAUCCCUGUCCCUGCACGGGGGGUUCUGCCCCCGGACGCCUGGGCCCCCUGCCCAUGGGGGGGACGCGGAUGGGCACUGGGGCUCUGCGGGCUCGGCCCCGGCCCGGCGGCAGCGGGACGGGAAGUGAUUCAGGCCGACGGCAGCCCGCGGAGCUGAGCCCGGCUUCCUGGUGCUGAGUCAGCCGCCCCGCCGCCGCUUUGCCCCACGGCCGCCCCAUGGCUGCCCCACGGCCGUGCAGGCCCCACGACGCUGCCCCACAGGGAGCCGGCCAUCCCGGCCGCGGGGCAGAGUCCGGCCCCGGCUCGGCAGCCUGCCGGCACGGCACUUUGCACCGGCAGCGUCCACGCCGCUCCGGCCAAGCUUGGGAACGGGAAGGGGAAGGCGGAAGCCGGCCCCGGAGCCGCAGCCGGGCCGGGCUGGGCUGGGGCACAAGAGGUGCCGGGCCGGGCUGGGCGGCAAGGG
rnacentral:lncRNA from 1 species